AGUGGAGGUGACGUAUUUCCGCUCUUGAGUGGCGCUCCACUCGCCCAUAUGUCUGCAGCCAGACCCUCUUGUUUGUUAUGGACAGAAGACUAUUUACAUCAUUAAAUUAAAGUUUACGGAAACCUUGUUUUCCCUCCUCUGCGGCUGUCAAUCAUUCAGUAUUCAAAUAGCGCGCACCUCGUCCAUUUACAGCAGGAUGUAUGAAGGAAAACUUAUACUGGAACAACAGUGUGGGCUGUGAGAUGAGAACAGAGACACACUGAGCUUUAACCACUAACCAUCGACCAACUGCUGACUGAUGAGGAAACAUCAUUAGCUUCUGAGAGACAAAGACAAACUGAACCACAGUGAUCUGAACUGAAGACAGCGACUGUAACACAUUUCAGUUUCAUUCAGCAACAUGAACGGUGAAAAUCAGACCUUGUUAGAUAUCAUAAGGAUUAUCUUCUUCAUCACUAGUGUUUGUGUGGGUCUUCCAGCUCUGGUUUGGGCUUUUCGUCUUCUGUGGCUUCACAGAAAGAUCAGAGACCGAAUCUCAGUCUUCAUCCUCCUCCUCCUCUUCAAUGACCUGAUACAAUUGCCCCUUAAUCUAUAUAUACUGAGAGAUAUACUGACAGAUUUCAGAUACUUUAUCCCUGAGCUUGUUCUGUUUUGGUUGGGAUUACAUUGGUUUGGUUUUCAUCUGCAUCAGCUGGUGGCUCUGGAGGGGAUCUUGACUCUGAAAUAUCCACUUUGGUCUGCUCGUAUUUUCUCACUGCCCUGUUACAUCAUAAUCUCCAUCCUUGUGCUUUUUUUUUCUAUAGUGAGUGCAUUAUUUCUUUUCUCGUAUCCGGAAUUUCAAAUUACAAACAUGUCAUUAUUCAGUCUCAGCACAAGUGUUGUUCCUCUGAUCGUAUUGUCUGUAUCAUCUACAAUCAGCUGUAAAGCCUCUUCCACUCCUGUCAGAAAAAACUGUUCGGUGCUCACUGUUGCUAUUCUUACAUAUGUUUUGAUGUACUUACCUUUCAUGUUCAUCAUCUGUGUGAAUUUCUUUCAUUUACACUCAUAUGUCAGCUCAUCUUGUUGGGUAAUGUUUUUCUGUUUGAUUAAUUCGAGAGUGUUUUCAGACUCUAUUCUGUGUGGUUUGGUCUGCAGAGAAAAUCUCAGAGAUGUUCAGACGCCACAAACACACACAGAACCCAACGCUGAUGAGACGUCAGUCUGAACUUGAGUUUCAUUAGUCCUCACGUCUGAAUCUGGCUUCAAAACAUACACCCAUCAGUAUAAUGAAAAAUUAUUAAUAAAAUAAAUAAUAUAUGACUUAAAGAUUGAUUCAUUUUAAAUGUCUGUUAUUGCUAAAAGUGAAAGUGUGCUCUCUGUGCCACAAACUGCACAAACUGAGUUUCCAUCUCUUUACUGAUCAUUUUGACCGUUUGUUGAAUAUUGUAAUAUAUAAAUAUGUAAAAAAGUCAAAUCUAAAUGGUCAUGUUUGUUGUUUGAUUAAUUUCAAUAUUCAGCAAUUUAAAGCUUUGUAAGGGGCUUCCCAUGAAAAAGUAUAACAUUCAAUGUGAUUUCAGCUGUCAAUCAUCCAUAUAUGAGAAUAAAACAUCUAACACAAUGCAGUUCUGCCCAGCAAAUGAUGAUCACAGAGAUCAUUAACAUUUGGACCUGAAAUGGUAUCAAAACUACAAAUAUAUGAACAUCUCCUACAAAUGAACACAUUACAGUCCUAAGACAUUGUUUUUAAAGACCACAAUAAAAAAUAAAAAAAACCAAAAUACAAAAAUACAAAGACCUUCUUUUUUUUUAGCUUCCGCCUUUGCUAACAUUCGGACGUUCUAUCUUACUGCUCUGUGCUUUGCUUCUUAUUUCUGUACUUUUCUCAGAUUUUUUACUUCAGCAGUUUUUUACUUCAGCAGAUCAGCACAGUGCUCAAACAACAGAUUUUUGGCACAAACGCUAAAACUAAAAACUCUUUGGGACUGGAAUAAUACUACAAAAAUCACCCCCUCAGCAUACAGCCGGUGAGUCCCAUGAAUCUUCUGAAUCUCAAUAGUUUACACCAAGUGUAGAGGAACAAGCCGAAACUGAUCGCCACACUAAUCGAUGGCACACACAGGGAGCGAGACCAAAAGCAACACGAGACAUAUUGCUGCCAUAGCUUCCUCUACUCCAGAUUCGACUAUGACAAGGCUUGUGAAUCCUGGUAUUCUACCACCCCCUAUACAUCUGGAGAACAGAUUUGAAGCAUUAAUGAAUGUGGGUGAGGAAUCCCCAAAUGUGAUUAAACAUGGAUCGGAUCAGCCAGCACUCCGCUACUAACAGGCGCUCAAGGACGAGCAGCUAAGAGCGCAGCCGAACCAAGGACUCUGAUAGUGGGUGACUAUUAUAUAUAUAUGUGUGUGUGUGUGUGUGUUUGUUUCAUAUACUCAUAUAUUUUCAUAUAUAUUCAUUUUUAUAUAUUUGUAAAUAACUUUUCAAUAUACAUUACUCAAACUCUCUAUACUGAGUGAGUUAAAUUGUUCACCAUUCAAAGUGAAUUUGUGCCCUCACAAGACUUGGAGAAUUAAACAUACAUGUAAUUUAUUUAUGUGCUGUCCCAUUUAUGAGCAUUCAUUUUGAUAGACGGAGCCCUGCCUCAGCGCAUUGAGAUCAACAUUGAAUUCAGGAAUCACAACCUAUUUUCCAGUAAGAUAGACUUCUUUUUACAACAAAAAUAUAUACUUUUACAGUGAGUUAAAUGCUUUUCCUUAAAGGGUUAUAGUUUACCCAAAAAAAAUAAAUAAUCAUCUACUCACCCUUGAAUUUUGUGCCCAAAUGUGCUUGCCCAUAUAAUGUCAGUGUAUGGCGAAUAACAUUACGCUGUUAAAAUAGAAGCCAAAGUAUCACAGAGUGGUCUUAUGUAUCGUGAUGUAUAUUCCAAGUGUUCUGCAGGUAUACAAUAAGGUUUAGUGAGAAACAUACUGUAUAACCGCUUCCUCAAAAUGGUAUUAGUUAUAACUCUGUUUUUAUAAGGUGGAAUCACUAACUAUGUUUCAAUACAACCUUCACAAGUCUGUAAUAUAAAAAACAAAUAAAAUAAAAAAAUACUUCACAUUCA